AGAACAAUGACUUUUUGGCAAAAGAUAUUUUCAGGACGAAAAUGGGAGAAAGCAAGCAAAUUUAGAAGAAUGAUAAAAAGAUCUUUCCUUCAUGAGGGUUGAGAUACUAUAAAAAUAUUGACAUCUGAGAAGUUAUUAUGAAGAUCUCAAAUGCAAAAAGAAACACAUGAAGAAACUGACUUGGCUUAUUCACUAAACACUAAACAUUUAAACUACCACAAGAUCCAGAAAAACAAAUCUAAUUGCAUCAUAAUAUGUG
rnacentral:misc_RNA from 1 species